CCCAUCUCCUAUCCUUUUUCCUGUUUGAUUUUUUUUCUCAUUUUCCCUUCUCUCACAGUGUGUCUUUCUCCACCUCUGUCCUGCUCCCUGUCCCAUCUGUCCUCCCAGUGUCCCUGUGUCCUGAUUACUCUCCCCUUUUUUUCUGUCUUUAUUUCUCUGCCUUGCUGCUGCUUCUUGCUAUACCUCCCUGUCCAGGCAGCUUUCUGCUUUCCUCUCUCUUUUCUGCUCCCUUUUUUUUUUUUGCUGUCUGUGCCUGUAGCCCCUUGCUGGCUAUAUUUGUUUUUACCUUCUUGGUAUCUUCCCUUUUCCCUCCCCUGCCUGCCAUCUGUGUGUCCUGCUCCCAGACCUGACCUUACAUUUCUUGAUCUCUUUCUGCAGCGUUCCUCGUGCCAGUUGUUCUGGACCUCUCUGAGCUUUUAUUUCUCACUCUGCUCCUCAUUCUUCUCCCUUGUCUGUCUUUUUCUUGCUCUGGUCCUCUCUUCCACUCUCAUCACUGUGUUAAAUAUGGCUCUGCCCAUAUACUGUGUGUUAUUCUGCCCCAGACUACACAGCAGUGAGAGCCACAUUGGUGCAGGUGAGGGGCUGAAGCUGCAGUGGGUCAUGUGUGUGGACAGAACAACAGAAAUACUCUGGAAAAAAGGUACAGAAAAGCAAAAAAUCCCAAUUUGGGGUGAAAGGCUGGGAUUUUGAGGAGUGUAACUUAAUCAUCCCAAGUGAGUUAACUGCUGGGUCUAGGUCAUCCCCAUGUUCUCACCCUGCAUAUUUCUACCCGGAUACACCCCUAAGCCAUGUCUGCUACCUCUCUUGUCCACAGGAGAAGUUUUCUUCACAUGAAUUUUCUUCUCUCUGACCAGCCUCUUACAUCCGUCUAUUUCCCCUUCCCUCCUUUUCCCAGUCCAACCCAACCCUCUUACUCUGCAACCCUAGGCUGCCUGUAACCUCUCACCUACACUUGCUAGCCCUUUUCUCCUCUCGCUGUCCAGCUAGGCAGAAUGGGAUGGUAGCUGCCAAACCUGUGCUUUGCUGCCUGAGUUUUUUCAGUUAGUGUUUUUUCCCUCUCAUGGAAACCAAGUGAUUAAAAACAAUUCAUACAGGUUCUCUGUGGCCACAGAAGAGCCGAGAUUAAGUUCUUGUUGAGUAUCCUGGGUGCACAGUAUUUUAUUUUUUCCCAGUGUAUAUUGCUCUUGGGAUUAACUUCAGAUUACACUUUCUUUUAAGCAACGUUAGUGUAACAGCUCUCAGAACCCUGAAAAGGCCAGUGAUAGUUCAUGCAGCGUGGACUCUUGCACUGAAGCUGUAUAGGAGAUGUAUUUCUGCAGUGCAAAGACCUAUUCCAGACCAGCUUUGAUUGCCUGGAUUAACCAGUAAAGCCUGGCACUGCAACAUGCUCUGAGGACCUGCUACAGGGAAAGCUGAGGGCCUUGCUGCUCUGCAGUGCUUCUUCACAAGGGAACCAGUCUCCAGCUUCAGCAGGUGAUGGUCUCUCACAGGCACUUGUGUAGCACCGGGCAGGUGCCUGGUACCUUGAUUGUCCAGGUACUGGUGUAACUGCUGCCUUGUAGUCUUGAUCUUUGCCAAAACGAUUGGGUACCAGAGUGAGACGAUGACUGGAUUCCUGGUAGCACUGUAUUUAUGCUGUGCUGCUAGCUGAAAAGGGGUUAUAGGCCAGGAAGUCUUCGGAGGGGGUAAACUAGAGCAAGUGAAUGUUGGAGUGAUUGUGUUAAAGAAGUGAAUGUGGCAGCCAAAGGAGCCACAGUGCAGUAGCACCCAUCCAGCAUACCAGCCCUGCGUGCUGCCCGCAUGGAGUGCAGAGUUCCUGCUGCACCGUGAGGGGUGGCCUCUCCAGGGCUGUGCGGCCAUCAGCUGAGGACCCGGAAUAUGCUACCAGCCUGCCUCUGCUGUCCCCGUGCCAUCUGUGCUGUCUUGGCACUCUGAAUGGGAGAAGAAUGCAAGCAUUCGUUAGUGGUCUGGAGAUGCUAUGUUUAUGUACUGACCUCCUGCUGGUGGCAUUGACGCUCUUCGUGUCGAUGAGCCGUAUAGCGAAACCGGCUGCACAUGCACCGUGAAACACCCCACUGCAAAAAGAAUCGUUCCUUUUCAGAAGGUUCUAUCCAGGCGGGACUGGAGCAGCAGGCAUGGGGAGGAUUCUCCUGGGCUUGUCCCAGCAGAUGGCACUGCGGCUCCAGAGCAGGGUAGGAGCCGUAAAGCUGCUUCCUUACACACCAGUUACCAGGGUGAGAGCAUAAUAAUGCCUCCCGAAAGACUGAUAGUUGAGGGGAAAGGAAAAAAGAAGAGAUUCCCUGAGAGGAGGUUUUUCUCAAUAUCUUUUCUAAUUAGGCCUGCUUCAUCUAAAGCACAGCAAAAACUACCAGAAGUAAUAAAAGAACCCAGAGGGUUCUCGCAUGAAUCAGAUGAAAACACACUGUGGUGCAAGCAAUAUUCCUUCAAAGUUGCUUCCUUUUCUCCACGCCUGCAUUCACGUGGAUGCAUUUCUGUAACAACCUGUAGAUAAAGUAAUCUUUUAAAACCCUU